rnacentral:rRNA from 1 species
GUCUACGAACAUACCAUGCUGAACAUACCGGUUCUCGUCCGAUCUCUGAAGUCAAGCAGCAUAGGGCCAGGUCAGUACUAGGAUGGGAGACCCCUUGGGAAUGGCGAAUGACC